rnacentral:rRNA from 1 species
UGGAGAGUUUGAUCCUGGCUCAGGACGAACGCUGGCGGCGUGCUUAACACAUGCAAGUCGAGCGGACCUUCGGGUCAGCGGCGAACGGGUGAGUAACACGUGGGCAACCUGCCCCAGGCUCUGGAAUAACUCCGGGAAACCGGGGCUAAUGCCGGAUAUUCACACCUUUGGGCAUCUGGUGGUGUGGAAAGAUUUAUUGGCUUGGGAUGGGCCCGCGGCCUAUCAGCUUGUUGGUGGGGUAAUGGCCUACCAAGGCGACGACGGGUAGCCGGCCUGAGAGGGCGAUCGGCCACACUGGGACUGAGACACGGCCCAGACUCCUACGGGAGGCAGCAGUGGGGAAUAUUGCGCAA